rnacentral:rRNA from 1 species
GUAUUGAGGUGAUUAAUUGGAGGGCAAAUCAAGUGCCAGCAGCCGCGGUAAUACUUGUUCCAAGAGUGUGUACGAUGAUUGAUGCAGUUAAAAAGUCCGUAGUUUAUUUUUUUAAGAAGCAAUAUGAGGUGUACUGUAUAGUUGGGAGAAAGAUGAAAUGUGACGACCCUGACUGGACGAACAGAAGCGAAAGCUGUACACUUGUAUGUAUUUUUUGAACAAGGACGUAAGCUGGAGGAGCGAAGAUGAUUAGAUACCAUUGUAGUUCCAGCAGUAAACUACGCCGACGAUGUGAUAUGGAAAUAUUAAUUUGUAUUACAUAAUAGAAAUUUGAGUUUUUUGGCUCUGGGGAUAGUAUGAUCGCAAGAUUGAAAAUUAGAGAAAUUGACGGAAGAAUACCACAAGGAGUGGAUUGUGCGGCUUAAUUUGACUCAACGCGAGGUAACUUACCAAUAUUUUAUUAUUUUGAGAGGACGGUUUUUUGUUUGAGAAUGAUAACAGUGGUGCAUGGCCGUUUUCAAUGGAUGCUGUGAAGUUUUGAUUAAUUUCAACAAGACGUGAGACCCUUAUUUUUAUUAAAGACAGACACAAUCAGUGUAGGAAGGAAAGGAUUAAAACAGGUCCGUUAUGCCCUCUGACAUUUUGGGCUGCACGCGCAAUACA